AUUUCUGGUGAGUCAGCCAGGAGGCCGUGGAGAGGACAGGUUGGCUGUCUCCUUUGCCUGUAGGUGGUCUGGGGCCCCAGCAGUGGGAGACCUGUAACUUCAGGCACCACUGGAAGAACUUAAGCCCAGAGAAGGAAACGGCUCUUCCACUCCCCAGCGCCCCUCCCCAGAUGGUGCAUCAGAACCUGGAGGGUUGCAGGACAAUCUCAAGAGCAGCAGGCAGACAUCUGAACCGUGGUACAUCUAGUUCUUCUAUUUGUCUACCUAUAGGUGCACUCAUAACAUUUUAAUUUAUUUCAUGUGUUGUCAUCGUUAUCCUCUGUAUUACUCUGAGAAAGAAGAUGUUACCUGUUUGUGAAAAAGAGGGUCACAGAGUAUGUGUGAACCAAUACUUCAUUUGAGACAGCCUCACAUGGAGAAUGCAAUGAGCCAUUCUCUUCUCACAUACAGUUGAAUAUGACAUUUACUGCAGUUUGAUCACUAAGCAUAAGAGCCAAGAACUCUGGAACAAGAAGAAGAAGACGAAGGAGGAGGAGGAGGGGGAGGGGGAGGAGGAGAAGGAGAAGGAGGAGAAGGAGAAGGAGAAGGAGACGGAGAAGGAGGAAGAGGAGGAGGAGGGCCGGGCGCAGUGGCUCACGCCUGUAAUCCCAGCAUUUUGGGAGGCCGAGGCGGGCGGAUCACGAGGUCAAGAGACCGAGACCAUCCUGGCUAACAUGGUGAAACCCCGUCUCUACUAAAAAUACAAAAAAUUAGCCGGGCAUGGUGGCGGGCGUCUGUAGUCCCAGCUACUCGGGAGGCUGAGGCAGGAGAAUGGCGGGAACCCGGGAGGCGGAGCUUGUAGUGAGCCAAGAUAGCGCCACUGCACUCCAGCCUGGACCACAGAGCGAGACUCCGUCUCAAGAAGAAGAAGAAGGAGAAGAAGGAGAAGGAGAAGGGAAAAAAGAAUCCUCAUCAUUAAUGCAAGUGGAAGGAAACUCUUCACCAAAGAAUUGAUCACAUCAUGAAAGGUGAAAUCAUUACGGAAUUGCUUAAAUAUAUAAUUUGAAUCUGGAUUUAAAAAUAAUAAAUGUAAGUUUUUUCUUUAAAAAAAAAAAAAA
ensembl:lncRNA novel transcript